GAUGAAGAACGUAUCGAAAUGCGAUAACUAAUGUGAAUUGCAGAAUUCCGUGAAUCAUCGAGUCUUUGAACGCACAUUGCGCCCCCUGGUAUUCCGGGGGCAUGCCUGUCCGAGCGUCAUUGCUGCCCAUCAAGCACGGCUUGUGUGUUGGGUCCUCGUCCCCCCCGGGGGACGUGCCCGAAAGGCAGCGGCGGCACCGCGUCCGGUCCUCGAGCGUAUGGGGCUUUGUCACCCGCUCUGCAGGCCCGGCCGGCGCUGGCCGACGCGAAAGCAACCAUUUUUUCUCCAGGUUGACCUCGGAUCAGGUAGGGAUACCCGCUGAACUUAAGCAUAUCAAUAAGCGGAGGA
rnacentral:misc_RNA from 1 species